rnacentral:rRNA from 1 species
GAUUAACGCUGGCGGCGUGCCUAACACAUGCAAGUCGAACGCGGUAGCAAUACCGAGUGGCAGACGGGUGAGUAACACGUGGUCAACCUUCCGUUCUGUGGGGGAUAACUAGCCGAAAGGUUAGCUAAUACCGCAUACGAUCUACAGCGGGCAUCCGCAGUAGAUGAAAGGAGCAAUUCGCAGAACGACGGGACCGCGUCCCAUUAGUUAGAUGGUGAGGUAACGGCUCACCAUGACUCCGAUGGGUAGCUGGUUUGAGAGAGCGACCAGCCACACU